rnacentral:sRNA from 1 species
UUGUAGUGUUGACCACGGGAACCUCCGU